rnacentral:rRNA from 1 species
AUUGAACGCUGGCGGCAGGCUUAACACAUGCAAGUCGAGCGAGCGGCGGACGGGUGAGUAAUGUCUGGGGAUCUGCCUGAUGGAGGGGGAUAACUACUGGAAACGGUAGCUAAUACCGCAUACCAUCAGAUGUACCCAUAUGGGAUUAGCUAGUAGGUGGGGUAAGGGCUCACCUAGGCGACGAUCCCUAGCUGGUCUGAGAGGAUGACCAGCCACACUGGAACUGAGACCCGGUCCAGACUCCUACGGGAGGCAGCAGUGGGGAAUAUUGCACAAUGGGCGCAAGCCGGAUGCAGCCAUGCCGCGUGUGUGAAGAAGGCCUUCGGGUUGUAAAGCACUUUCAGCGAGGAGGCGUUACUCGCAGAAGAAGCACCGGCUAACUCCGUGCCAGCAGCCGCGGUAAUAC